CCGUGCUAUCCUGAACACAUCUGAUCUCAGAAGCUGACCAGGGUCAGGCCUGGUUAGUACUUGGAUGGGAGAUCAUGGGAUUAGAAUUCAGAAGAAAAAAAAA
rnacentral:rRNA from 1 species